rnacentral:rRNA from 1 species
AUUGAACGCUGGCGGCAGGCCUAACACAUGCAAGUCGAACGGUAACAGGAAGCAGCUUGCUGCUUCGCUGACGAGUGGCGGACGGGUGAGUAAUGUCUGGGAAACUGCCUGAUGGAGGGGGAUAACUACUGGAAACGGUAGCUAAUACCGCAUAACGUCGCAAGACCAAAGAGGGGGACCUUAGGGCCUCUUGCCAUCGGAUGUGCCCAGAUGGGAUUAGCUAGUAGGUGGGGUAACGGCUCACCUAGGCGACGAUCCCCAGCUGGUCUGAGAGGAUGACCAGCCACACUGGAACUGAGACACGGUCCAGACUCCUACGGGAGGCAGCAGUGGGGAAUAUUGCACAAUGGGCGCAAGCCUGAUGCAGCCAUGCCGCGUGUAUGAAGAAGGCCUUCGGGUUGUAAAGUACUUUCAGCGGGGAGGAAGGGAGUAAAGUUAAUACCUUUGCUCAUUGACGUUACCCGCAGAAGAAGCACCGGCUAACUCCGUG